GACGAACGCUGGCGGCGUGCUUAACACAUGCAAGUCGAACGGAAAGGCCCUGCUUUUGGUGUGUGCUCGAGUGGCGAACGGGUGAGUAACACGUGAGUAACCUGCCCUUGACUUUGGGAUAACUUCAGGAAACUGGGGCUAAUACCGGAUAUGAUCUCCUGCUGCAGGGUGGUGGUUGGAAAGUUUCGGCGGUUGGGGAUGGACUCCCGGCUUAUCAGCUUGUUGGUGGGUUAGUGGCUUACCAAGGCUUUGACGGGUAGCCGGCCUGAGAGGGUGACCGGCCACAUUGGGACUGAGAUACGGCCCAGACUCCUCCGGGAGGCAGCAGUGGGGAAUAUUGCACAAUGGGCGGAAGCCUGAUGCAGCACCGCAGCGUGCGGGAUGACGGCCUUCGGGUUGUAAACCGCUUUAGCCUGUGACGAAGCGUGAGUGACGGUAAUGGGUAAAGAAGCACCGGCUAACUACGUG
rnacentral:rRNA from 1 species